rnacentral:rRNA from 1 species
UACGAAGGGGGCUAGCGUUGCUCGGAAUCACUGGGCGUAAAGCGCACGUAGGCGGCUUUUUAAGUCAGGGGUGAAAUCCUGGAGCUCAACUCCAGAACUGCCUUUGAUACUGAGAAGCUUGAGUCCGGGAGAGGUGAGUGGAACUGCGAGUGUAGAGGUGAAAUUCGUAGAUAUUCGCAAGAACACCAGUGGCGAAGGCGGCUCACUGGCCCGGUACUGACGCUCAUGUGCGAAAGCGUGGGGAGCAAACAGG